rnacentral:rRNA from 1 species
GGGGAAUAUUGGGCAAUGGGCGCAAGCCUGACCCAGCAACGCCGCGUGAGGGAAGAAGGUCUUCGGAUUGUAAACCUCUGUCCUUGGGGACGAAAAAAAUGACGGUACCCAAGGAGGAAGCUCCGGCUAACUACGUGCCAGCAGCCGCGGUAAUACGUAGGGAGCGAGCGUUGUCCGGAAUUACUGGGCGUAAAGGGUGCGUAGGCGGCUAUGCAAGUCAGAUGUGAAAUCCCCGGGCUUAACUCGGGUGGUGCAUUUGAAACUGCGUAGCUUGAGUGCAGGAGAGGAAAGCGGAAUUCCUAGUGUAGCGGUGAAAUGCGUAGAUAUUAGGAGGAACACCAGUGGCGAAGGCGGCUUUCUGGACUGUAACUGACGCUGAGGCACGAAAGCGUGGGGAGCAAAC